UACAGAGGGUGCGAGCGUUGUUCGGAAUUAUUGGGCGUAAAGGGCGCGUAGGCGGCCUUCUAAGUCAGACGUGAAAUCCCCCGGCUUAACCUGGGAACUGCGUCUGAUACUGGGAGGCUUGAGUAUGGGAGAGGGAUGUAGAAUUCCAGGUGUAGCGGUGAAAUGCGUAGAUAUCUGGAGGAAUACCGGUGGCGAAGGCGGCAUCCUGGACCAUUACUGACGCUGAGGCGCGAAAGCUAGGGGAGCAAACGGG
rnacentral:rRNA from 1 species